rnacentral:rRNA from 1 species
GAAAGAAUAUCGGAGACGGAUGGGCAUGCGGCGCAUUAGCUAGUUGGCGGGGUAACGGCCCACCAAGGCGACGAUGCGUAGGGGUUCUGAGAGGAAGGUCCCCCACACCGGUACUGAGACACGGACCAGACUCCUACGGGAGGCAGCAGUGAGGAAUAUUGGUCAAUGGGCGAGAGCCUGAACCAGCCAAGUCGCGUGAGGGAGUACUGCCCUAUGGGUUGUAAACCUCUUUUGUCGGGGAGCAAAAGCCGGACGUGUCCGGCUGUGAGAGUACCCGAAGAAAAAGCAUCGGCUAACUCCGUGCCAGCAGCCGCGGUAAUACGGAGGAUGCGAGCGUUAUCCGGAUUUAUUGGGUUUAAAGGGUGCGCAGGCGGAUUUUUAAGUCAGCGGUCAAAUCGUGGGGCUCAACCCCAUCCAGCCGUUGAAACUGGGGAUCUAGAGUGUGCGAGAGGUAUGCGGAAUGCGUGGUGUAGCGGUGAAAUGCAUAGAUAUCACGCAGAACCCCGAUUGCGAAGGCAGCAUACCGGUGCACAACUGACGCUCAGGCACGAAAGCGUGGGUAUCGAACAGGAUUAGAUACCCUGGUAGUCCACGCAGUAAACGAUGAAUGCUACCUGUUUGGCCAGAUUGAUGGCUGA